UACGGAGGGGGCUAGCGUUGUUCGGAAUUACUGGGCGUAAAGCGCACGUAGGCGGCUUUGUAAGUUAGAGGUGAAAGCCCGGGGCUCAACUCCGGAAUUGCCUUUAAGACUGCAUCGCUAGAAUUGUGGAAAGGUAAGUGGAAUUCCGAGUGUAGAGGUGAAAUUCGUAGAUAUUCGGAAGAACACCAGUGGCGAAGGCGACUUACUGGACACAUAUUGACGCUGAGGUGCGAAAGCGUGGGGAGCAAACGGG
rnacentral:rRNA from 1 species